AACGAACGCUGGCGGCAUGCCUAACACAUGCAAGUCGAACGAGACCUUCGGGUCUAGUGGCGCACGGGAGCGUAACGCGUGGGAACCUGCCCUUAGGUUCGGAAUAACUCCGCGAAAGGGGUGCUAAUACCGGAUAAUGUCUUCGGACCAAAGAUUUAUCGCCUUUGGAUGGGCCCGCGUUGGAUUAGCUAGUUGGUAGGGUAAAAGCCUACCAAGGCGACGAUCCAUAGCUGGUCUGAGAGGAUGAUCAGCCACACUGGGACUGAGACACGGCCCAGACUCCUACGGGAGGCAGCAGUGGGGAAUAUUGGACAAUGGGCGAAAGCCUGAUCCAGCAAUGCCGCGUGAGUGAUGAAGUCCUUAGGGUUGUAAAGCUCUUUUACCCGGGAUGAUAAUGACAGUACCGGGAGAAUAAGCUCCGGCUAACUCCGUG
rnacentral:rRNA from 1 species